UACGUAGGGUGCAAGCGUUUAAUCGGAAUUACUGGGCGUAAAGCGUGCGCAGGCGGUUUUGUAAGACCGAUGUGAAAUCCCCGGGCUUAACCUGGGAACUGCAUUGGUGACUGCAAGGCUUGAGUGUGUCAGAGGGAGGUGGAAUUCCGCGUGUAGCAGUGAAAUGCGUAGAUAUGCGGAGGAACACCGAUGGCGAAGGCAGCCUCCUGGGAUAACACUGACGCUCAUGCACGAAAGCGUGGGGAGCAAACAGG
rnacentral:rRNA from 1 species